GACGAACGCUGGCGGCGUGCCUAAUACAUGCAAGUAGAACGCUGAAGCGAGGAGCUUGCUCUUCUUGGAUGAGUUGCGAACGGGUGAGUAACGCGUAGGUAACCUGCCUUGUAGCGGGGGAUAACUAUUGGAAACGAUAGCUAAUACCGCAUAACAAUGGAUGACACAUGUCAUUUAUUUGAAAGGGGCAAUUGCUCCACUACAAGAUGGACCUGCGUUGUAUUAGCUAGUAGGUGAGGUAAUGGCUCACCUAGGCGACGAUACAUAGCCGACCUGAGAGGGUGAUCGGCCAAACUGGGACUGAGACCAGGCCCAGACUCCUACGGGAGGCAGCAGUAGGGAAUCUUCGGCAAUGGGGGCAACCCUGACCGAGCAACGCCGCGUGAGUGAAGAAGGGUUUCGGAUCGUAAAGCUCGGUUGUAAGUCAAGAACGGGUGUGAGAGUGGAAAGUUCACACUGUGACGGUAGCUGACCAGAAAGGGACGGCUAACUACGUG
rnacentral:rRNA from 1 species